rnacentral:lncRNA from 1 species
UUUGAACUUGAGUUUGUGUGGUUUUUUAACUUAGUUUUGUGGCAAUUGUUAAACUUGAGAUUUGGGUGUUGGUUGAACUUGGGUUUGUGGUGUUUUUGAACUUGAGUUUGUGUCUUUGUUGAACUUGAGUUUGUGGCGUGUUUUAACUUGAGUUUCUGUUGUUUUUGAACUUGAAGUUGUGGAAAUUGUUGAACUUGAGAUUUGGGAUUUGGUUGAACUUGACUUUGUUUCAUGUUUGAACUUCAGUUUGGGGUGUUUUUGAACUUGAACUUGUGUGUUUUUUGAACUUGAGUUUGUGUUGUUAAGAACUUGAGUUUGUGGUGUUUUUGAACUUGAGUUUGUGUGUUUGUUGAACUUGAGGUUGUGGCAAUUGUUAAACUUGAUAUUUGGGUGUUGUUGAACUUCAAACUUUGAAAUUUGUUGAUCUUGAGUUUGUGGUGUUCGUUGAACUUCAGUUUCAGCAUUUUUUAACUUGAGUUUGUGGCAAUUUUUAAACUUGAGUUUGUUGAACUUGAGUUUUUGGCAAUUGUUAAAUGUGAGUUUAGGUCAUUUGUUGAACUUGAGUUUGUGGCAAUUGUUGAACUUGAGUCUGUAUUUUUCACUGAACUUUAGUUUGUAGCGUUUGUUGUACUUGAGUUUGUGGCUUUUGUUGUACUUGAGUUUGUGUCUUGUUUGAACUUGAGUUGGGGGUGUUUUUGAACUUUAGGUUGUGGCAAUUGUUGAACUUGAGGAUUGUGUGUUUGUUGAACUUGAGUUUGUCUCGUGUUUGAACUUGAGUUUCUGUUGUUUUUGAACUUGAGGUUGUUGAAAUUGUUAAACUUGAGAUUUGGGUUUUGGUUGAACUUAAAACUUUUACAUUUGUUGAACUUGAGUUUGUGGCGUGUUUGAACUUGAGUUUCUGUUGUUUUUGAACUUGCGGUUUUGGAUAUUGUUUAAUUUGAGAUUUGAGUGUUGGUUGAACUUGACUUUGUCAUGUUUGAACUUGAGUUUGUGGUGUUUUUGAACUAGAUUUUGUGUGUUUUUUGAACUUAAGUUUUCUGUCAAUUGUUGAACUUGAGUUUAUGGUUUUAGUGAACUUUACUUGGUGGCAGUUGUUGAACUUGAGUUUGUGGAUUUGUUGAACUUGAGCAUGUGUCGUGUUUGAACUUGAGUUUGAGGGGUUUGUUGAACUUGAGUUGUGGAAAUUGUUGAACUUGAGAUUUGGGAUUUGGUUGAACUUGACUUUGUUUCAUGUUUGAACUUCAGUUUGGGGUGUUUUUGAACUUGAACUGGGUGUGAACUUUUUUUGAACUUGAGUUUGUGUUGUUAAGAACUUGAGUUUGUGGUGUUUUUGAACUUGAGUUUGUGUGUUUGUUGAACUUGAGGUUGUGGCAAUUGUUAAACUUGAGAUUUGGGUGUUGGUUGAACUUGAGUUUGUGUCGUUUCAGAACUUGAGUUUGUGUCGUUUCAGAACUUGCAUUCCUGUUAUUUGUUUAACUUGAAUUUGUGUGUUUUUUGAACUUGAGGUUCUGAAAAUUUUUAAACUUGAGUUUGUUGAACUUGAGUUUUUGGCAAUUGUUAAAUGUGAGUUUAGGUCAUUUGUUGAACUUGAGUUUGUGGCAAUUGUUGAACUUGAGUCUGUAUUUUUCACUGAACUUUAGUUUGUAGCGUUUGUUGUACUUGAGUUUGUGGCGUUUGUUGUACUUGAGUUUGUGUCUUGUUUGAACUUGAGUUGGGGGUGUUUUUGAACUUUAGGUUGUGGCAAUUGUUGAACUUGAGGAUUGUGUGUUUGUUGAACUUGAGUUUGUCUCGUGUUUGAACUUGAGUUUCUGUUGUUUUUGAACUUGAGGUUGUUGAAAUUGUUAAACUUGAGAUUUGGGUUUUGGUUGAACUUAAAACUUUUACAUUUGUUGAACUUGAGUUUGUGGCGUGUUUGAACUUGAGUUUCUGUUGUUUUUGAACUUGCGGUUUUGGAUAUUGUUUAAUUUGAGAUUUGAGUGUUGGUUGAACUUGACUUUGUCAUGUUUGAACUUGAGUUUGUGGUGUUUUUGAACUAGAUUUUGUGUGUUUUUUGAACUUAAGUUUUCUGUCAAUUGUUGAACUUGAGUUUAUGGUUUUUAGUGAACUUUACUUGGUGGCAGUUGUUGAACUUGAGUUUGUGGGAUUUGUUGAACUUGAGCAUGUGUCGUGUUUGAACUUGAGUUUGAGGGGUUUGUUGAACUUGAGCUUGUGUCGUGUUUGAACUUGAGUUUGUGGUGUUUUUGAACUUGAGUCUGUGUUGCUUUUGAACUUGAGGUUUUGGAAAUUGUUAAACUUGAGAAUUGGGUAUUGGCUGAACUUGAGUUUUUGAACUUGAGUUUGUGUCAUGUUUGAACUUGAGUUUGUUGUGUGUUUGAAUUUGAGUUUGUGUGUUUGUUGAACUUGAGGUUGUGGCAAUUGUUAAACUUGAGAUUUGGGUGUUGGUUGAACUUGAGUUUGUGUCGUUUCAGAACUUGAGUUUGUGUCGUUUCAGAACUUGCAUUCCUGUUAUUUGUUUAACUUGAAUUUGUGUGUUUUUUGAACUUGAGGUUCUGAAAAUUUUUAAACGUGAGAAUCAUGUGUUGGUUGAACUUGAGUUUGUGGUUUUUGUUGAACUUGAGGUUGUGUCGUGUUUGAACUUGAGUUUGUGGUUUUUUUGAACUUGAGUCUGUGUUGUUUUUGAACUUGAAGUUGUGGAAAUUGUUAAACUUGAGAAUUGGGUAUUGGUUGAACUUGAGUUUAUGGUUUUUUUUAACUUGAGUUUGUGUCGUGUUUUUAACUUGAGUUUGUGGUGUGUUUGAAUUUGAGUUUGUGUGUUUGUUGAACUUGAGGUUGUGGCAAUUGUUAAACUUGAGAUUUGGGUGUUGGUUAAACUUGAGAUUUGGGUGUUGGUUGAACUUGAGUUCGUGUUAUUUUUUUAACUUGAGUAUGUGUUUUUAUACUUGAGUUUGUGUCGUUUUUGAACUUGAGGUUGAGGUUUUUUUGAACUGUUUCUGUUGUUUUUGAACUUGAGGUUUUGGAAAUUGUUAAACUUGAGAAUCAGGUGUUGGUUGAACUUCAGUUAGUGUGUUUGUUGAACUUGAGUUUGUGUCGUGUUUGAACUUGAGUUCGUGUCGUGUUUGAACUUGAGUUUGUGGUGUUGUUGAACUUGGGUUUGUGGUGUUUUUGAACUUUAGGUUGUAGAAUUUGUUAAACUUGAGAUUUGGGUGUUGGUUGAACUUGAGUUUGUGUCGUGUUUGAACUUGAGGCUGUGAAAAUUUUCAAACUUGAAUAUCAGGUGUUGGUUGAACUUGAGUUUUUUGUUUUGUUGAACUUUAGUUUGUGUCUUGUUUUAACUUAUGUUUGUGGUUUUUUUUAACUUGAGGUUGUGAAAAUUGUUAAAUUUAAGAAUUGGGUAUUUGUUGAACUUGAGUUUUUGGUGUUUUUUAAAUUGAGUUUGUUUCGUGUUUGAACUUGAGUUUGUGGCAAUUUUUAAACUUAAUAUUGGAUAUUUAACCCUAACGCCAAAAACCUUAAACCUUACCAUAGCCCCAUAACCUAAUACCCAGGUAUUACCUUCAGGAAGCCCGAACACCCCAAAUAUUUUUUUUCAUUUUUAAUUUUUUUUUAUCUAAAUAACUCCAAAAGGUCUGAAACAUGUUCCUAAAAAGGUUUUGGACACUGAUUUUAACCCUUACGCCAAAAAACUUAAACCUUACCCUAGCCCCAUAACCUAAUAACCUAAUAAUACCUUCAGGAAGCCCAAACACCCCAAAUAUAUAUAUAUAUAUUUUUUCUCUUUUUUUGUCUAACUAACUCCAAAAGGUUGGAAAAGAGUUCCUAAAAAGGUUUUGGACACUGAUUUUAACCCUUACGCCAAAAAACUUAAACCUUACCCUAGCCCCAUAACCUAAUAACCUAAUAAUACCUUCAGGAAGCCCGAACACCCCAAAUAUUCUUUUUCAUUUUUCAUUUUUUUUUUAAGUCUAACUAACACCAAAAGGUUGGAAAAGAGUUCCUACAUAGGUUUUGGAGUGUGAUUUUAACCCUAACGCCAAAAACCUUAAACCUUACCAUAGCCCCAU